rnacentral:lncRNA from 1 species
AUUAGUUUAAGGUUUUUAUGCAUUUUGAUAUAAUGUUAUUCUAUAAAAUGUUUAUCAAUUUAUACUCACAUCCAUACAAGGUAUUAUCUCUCUUUUAAAUUUUUGAAAAGCUGAUAGUUAAAAUCUUGUCAACUUACCUGUAUUUCUUCCGUUAUCUAUGCUGAUUUUUUUUCAUAUUCAUUAGUCAUGUAUCUUUUGUGUAUGUGAAUCAUUGGAGCAAGUCCUUUAUCAUUGUUAUGCCUGGAGUGUUUGCUUUUUGUUGUUUUGAAGGAAGCUUUUACAUAGGAAGAAAUUGAAGCCUUUGUCAUGCAUUUUACAAUAUUAAGAUAAAUUUCCAAUGGUCUUUUAUUUUUUUGUAUUUCUCUCAGACAGGCUCCCAUAAAAGCAAAGCUUUAUUUUUUGGGAAUUGUUUUUAAAUAAAACAAGAAAUUAAAGUCUUCAUAUUUCCACCAUUUAGCAUGCAACCUUCUUAACACCAAUGUGUACAUUCCAGACCUUUCCUACGUUUUUGUUAUAAAAUUGGAUUGUAGUAUACUUUCUUUUUGUUAUGUGCUUUUUC